rnacentral:rRNA from 1 species
CCUACGGGUGGCAGCAGUGAGGAAUAUUGGUCAAUGGACGAGAGUCUGAACCAGCCAAGUAGCGUGAAGGAUGACUGCUCUAUGGGUUGUAAACUUCUUUUAUAUGGGAAUAAAAUGUUCCACGUGUGGGAUUUUGUAUGUACCAUAUGAAUAAGGAUCGGCUAACUCCGUGCCAGCAGCCGCGGUAAUACGGAGGAUCCGAGCGUUAUCCGGAUUUAUUGGGUUUAAAGGGAGCGUAGGUGGAUUGUUAAGUCAGUUGUGAAAGUUUGCGGCUAAACCGUAAAAUUGCAGUUGAAACUGGCAGUCUUGAGUACAGUAGAGGUGGGCGGAAUUCGGGGUGUAGCGGUGAAAUGCUUAGAUAUCACGAAGAACUCCGAUUGCGAAGGCAGUUCACUGGACUGCAACUGACACUGAGGCUCGAAAGUGUGGGUAUCAAACAGGAUUAGAUACCCCGGUAGUC